rnacentral:rRNA from 1 species
ACAGGCACUCCGGAGACAAUCGGCAGACGGGUGAGUAACGCGUGGGUAACCUGCCCUGUACACACGGAUAACAUACCGAAAGGUAUGCUAAUACGAGAUAAUAUGCUUUUAUCGCAUGGUAGAAGUAUCAAAGCUUUUGCGGUACAGGAUGGACCCGCGUCUGAUUAGCUAGUUGGUAAGGUAACGGCUUACCAAGGCGACGAUCAGUAGCCGACCUGAGAGGGUGAUCGGCCACAUUGGAACUGAGACACGGUCCAAACUCCUACGGGAGGCAGCAGUGGGGAAUAUUGCACAAUGGGCGAAAGCCUGAUGCAGCAACGCCGCGUGAGCGAUGAAGGCCUUCGGGUCGUAAAGCUCUGUCCUCAAGGGAGAUAAUGACGGUACUUGAGGAGGAAGCCCCGGCUAACUACGUGCCAGCAGCCGCGGUAAUACGUAGGGGGCUAGCGUUAUCCGGAAUUACUGGGCGUAAAGGGUGCGUAGGUGGUUUCUUAAGUCAGAGGUGAAAGGCUACGGCUCAACCGUAGUAAGCCUUUGAAACUGGGAAACUUGAGUGCAGGAGAGGAGAGUGGAAUUCCUAGUGUAGCGGUGAAAUGCGUAG